GAAAUGGCGUUUUUUCGGGUUAAAUGGGGUUUUUUGAAGAGAAAUGCAUGACUUUCGUUUACAUGUGAGAUUGUUGUAGAGGAAAUGCAUGAUUUUGGGGUAAAAUGAGGGAUUCUCGUAGCGAAAGCGUUUGAUUUGGGGGUUAAAGGGGGAUUUUUCAAGAGAAAAAGCGUGAUUUUCAAGUUCAAAGGGUGAUUUUCCAAGAGAAAAUGCGUGAUUUUCGGGAUUAAU
rnacentral:lncRNA from 7 species